AAGAUGGAGUUUGUUGGCUGUGCAGAAGAGAAGGAGUCAGUGCUGUGAGGAGCUGCUCACGAAAAUCACUGAGAAGGCUAUGUAUCACUGCUCUGGAUUCUGAAGUAUACAUUACUCAUCACCUCCCAACAGCUGGCAGAGAGGAGUAGCUGUCAUCUCCCAGGAGGCAGCAGUUGGUUCAAUGACAACUUUCAAUCAACCUCCCAUUAAAGCAACCUGCAGUGACCAUGGCAUAGCCAUUCCAAAUCAUCAGUGCAAAAAACAGGCUCAGAAGUUUCUAUAUGAUGUUGCAUAUUGCAGGGUCUGAGAGACCCCCGUGAAUUGGUGCAUGAGAAAAGUGCUCUGUUUUCAUCCUGAAUUCAGUACAAAGACUGUCACCUCAACUGGAACAAGAAAAUACUUUAGCUCUACCUCACACCACAUGGCUGAGAAAGAUCGUAACUCAUUAUUUGGAUUCCCAAGCAUUACCUAACUACAGAGAGUAGCAGAUGAUUAUAUUCUAGGAUUUUUAGUGCUCUAGCAUUCUCUACGAGUAUGUGUUCAUUUCUUACCCGAAUUUUGCUUUUUUCUUUUAAUGUAUAUUGAAAAGAAAAACCUAACCAAAUAAAACAUAAAAUUAUA